rnacentral:rRNA from 1 species
UGGGGAAUUUUGCACAAUGGGGGAAACCCUGAUGCAGCGACGCCGCGUGAACGAUGAAGGUCUUCGGAUUGUAAAGUUCUGUCCUUAGUGAAGAUAAUGACUGUAACUAAGAAGCAAGCCCUGGCUAAAUACGUGCCAGCAGCCGCGGUAAUACGUAUGGGGCAAGCGUUGUCCGGAAUUAUUGGGCGUAAAGGGUACGUAGGCGGUAAUUUAAGUCUGAAUUAAAAGGCUGUGGCUCAACCAUAGUAAGGUUCAGAUACUGGAUUACUUGAGUAGAUGAGGGGAAAGUGGAAUUCCAUGUGUAGCGGUGAAAUGCGUAGAUAUAUGGAGGAACACCUGUGGCGAAGGCGACUUUCUGGAAUCUAACUGACGCUGAGGUACGAAGGCGUGGGGAGCAAACA